UUCCUACAACUGCAAGUUGGGCACCAUGGAUUUUAUUUUCUGAAGCUUCCUCUCCUUAGAUGCAACGGCAGCGUCAUUGUGCGGCCGGCAAGUGGUCAGUCCGUGUCCAUAUUGUUCAGUGCUCUUCAGGGGACAGCAAAAAACCCAAUUGGCUUCAGGUGCAACAAAUGCAUGAAGAAAGAUUCCUCCUUGCAUGAUCAAAAUCAGCACAUGACAAAUGUGCCAACUGAUCGGAGCACCUGCUUGAAAGAGAGCUCUGAUAAUCCAGACAUUUCAACUCAUGGUUGCAUUGAAGCUUCUGAUUUCAGGUGGCGCGGCAGCUCGAAAGCAAUCAAAUGCUAUCCAUGA
rnacentral:lncRNA from 1 species